AUUGAACGCUGGCGGAAUGCUUUACACAUGCAAGUCGAACGGCAGCACGGACUUCGGUCUGGUGGCGAGUGGCGAACGGGUGAGUAAUGUAUCGGAACGUGCCCAGUCGUGGGGGAUAACGUAGUGAAAAUUACGCUAAUCCCGAUUACGACCUAGGGAUGAAAGCGGGGGAUCGCAAGCCCUCCCCCGAUUGGAGGGGCGGCUACCAGAUUGGGAAGUUGGGGGGGUAAAGGCCCCCAAAGCCAACGAUCUGUAGCUGGUCUGAGAGGACGACCAGCCACACUGGAACUGAGACACGGUCCAGACUCCUACGGGAGGCAGCAGUGGGGAAUUUUGGACAAUGGGCGAAAGCCUGAUCCAGCCAUUCCGCGUGCAGGAUGAAGGCCCUCGGGUUGUAAACUGCUUUUGUACAGAACGAAAAGGUUUCUACUAAUACUAGGAGCUCAUGACGGUACUGUAAGAAUAAGCACCGGCUAACUACGUGCCAGCCGCCGCCGUAA
rnacentral:rRNA from 1 species